GAUCUACUAGCUCAGUUGGUAGAGCACAUGACUCUUAAUCAUGGGGUCCAGGGUUCGAGCCCCUGGUGGAUCA
rnacentral:tRNA from 1 species